rnacentral:lncRNA from 10 species
CAGUGAGGCGGCCGGUGAGGAGCUGAGGCCGUGACCAGGGCAGCGCCCCGCGAGUCAGCGUCAGUCCCCGCGCCAGCCAGUUCCUCAGACAAUCAGGAUGAAGAACCCACAUCCCAGGAAAAGUAGGUUUGAGGAGGAAGACAGUUGGCUUAACUUUGGCCAUGAUGGGCAGAGCAAUCCUGGAGGCCAUUGUGGAGGAGUUAUCCAGCAGGAUGUUGAAGAGUGAGAGGCCCACAUCACUCACCUGAGAGAUUAACCCAUGACAGCAUAUACAUUCUCCUCAACCUCCACUGCCCUCACCGCCUUCUUCUUGUGGAAACUGACAUUGAGUGAAGAGACAAGGACCUGUAAGUGUGGCCACAUGAAGGGAGCAAAGGGCAGCCAACUCAACUUCGCUCACCAUUCCCAUCGCGUAUGCUGGGAAAUCAUCAAUAUACCCGCUGUCAUGGAAUUGCAGAAUCGUUAUCCAAAUGGCUUUGACUUUUACCACUACUCCCAGC